rnacentral:ncRNA from 1 species
UAGUUUGAUUCUUGCUACCUUUUUUGGUUAAGACAGAAUAUAAUACAUGCAACUCUCUAGUAACCCGUGCGAUUAACAUUAUCAUCUUAAAGUAUUCCACCAUAUGGAUAAGUUCAACUAAAACACCAAUCACACGCCUGCAGUAAAGAAUUUUGCCCUAUAUUAAAUCAAUGACUCAGAUACUGUCUUUUAGUGCUGACUAAACUCGUGCCAGCCGUCGCGGUUAUACGAUAAGCACAAAUCAAAAUCCCCCCGGGAGCGUUAUGAUAAAAAACUUAUGUUUCAGUGGUACAAUACAUUUAUCAUAUUUUAUUUUUCAUAUAUCAACCCAACUUACGAAAGAAUAAGCUAAAACAAGGAUUAGAUACCCUUUUAUUUUAUUCCUUAAACCCCCUGCCCCGUUUUUUACGAACUCAUGUUUAAAACCCAAAGAAAUUGGCGGCACUUUAUGCUACUAGGGGAAUCUGUCAAUUAAUUCGCCAAUCCACGUUAAACCCCUCUUGCUUUUGAUUUUCAGCUUGUAUACUGCCGUCGCAAGCUAGCAUUAUUUAAAAUCGCUAGCCACUAAGCCCCACGCUUUUACGUCAGGUCAAUGUGCAGCCCUAUAAGCAAGCUCUUGAUGGAUUACAAUAAUAAGAAAACAAGUUAUCACCUAUAACAAGCUGGUAUAAUAUGGACUUAGUAGUAAUUAAAAAAUAGUAUGUUUUACUGAAAUAGCAAUCUAUAGUGUGCACACAUCGCCCGUCACUCUCACCGAAAGGAGAGAUAAGUCGUAACAUAGUAGGCGUAACUGAAGUUGUGCCUU